GACGGAAGGUGCAAGCGUUGCUCGGAAUCACUGGGCGUAAAGCGCGUGUAGGCGGCUAUGUAAGUCGGGCGUGAAAUCCCACGGCUCAACCGUGGAAGUGCACCCGAAACUGCGUAGCUAGAGUCCUGGAGAGGAAGGUGGAAUGCUUGGUGUAGAGGUGAAAUUCGUAGAUAUCAAGCGGAACACCGGUGGCGAAGGCGGCCUUCUGGACAGUGACUGACGCUGAGACGCGAAAGCUAGGGGAGCAAACGGG
rnacentral:rRNA from 1 species